rnacentral:rRNA from 1 species
GAUGUGCCCAGAUGGGAUUAGCUAGUAGGUGGGGUAACGGCUCACCUAGGCGACGAUCCCUAGCUGGUCUGAGAGGAUGACCAGCCACACUGGAACUGAGACACGGUCCAGACUCCUACGGGAGGCAGCAGUGGGGAAUAUUGCACAAUGGGCGCAAGCCUGAUGCAGCCAUGCCGCGUGUGUGAAGAAGGCCUUCGGGUUGUAAAGCACUUUCAGCGGGGAGGAAGGCG